rnacentral:rRNA from 1 species
AUUGAACGCUGGCGGAAUGCUUUACACAUGCAAGUCGAACGGUAGAGGGGGCAACCCCUUGAGAGUGGCGAACGGGUGAGUAAUAUAUCGGAACGUGCCCAGUCGUGGGGGAUAACGUAGCGAAAGUUACGCUAAUACCGCAUACGAUCUACGGAUGAAAGCGGGGGACUCGCAAGAGCCUCGCGCGAUUGGAGCGGCCGAUAUCAGAUUAGGUAGUUGGUGGGGUAAAGGCUCACCAAGCCAACCGAUCUGUAGCUGGUCUGAGAGGACGACCAGCCACACUGGAACUGAGACACGGUCCAGACUCCUACGGGAGGCAGCAGUGGGGAAUUUGGACAAUGGACGCAAGUCUGAUCCAGCCA